rnacentral:rRNA from 1 species
GAUGAACGCUGGCGGCGUGCCUAAUACAUGCAAGUCGAGCGAACGGACGAGAAGCUUGCUUCUCUGAUGUUAGCGGCGGACGGGUGAGUAACACGUGGAUAACCUACCUAUAAGACUGGGAUAACUUCGGGAAACCGGAGCUAAUACCGGAUAAUAUUUUGAACCGCAUGGUUCAAAAGUGAAAGACGGUCUUGCUGUCACUUAUAGAUGGAUCCGCGCUGCAUUAGCUAGUUGGUAAGGUAACGGCUUACCAAGGCAACGAUGCAUAGCCGACCUGAGAGGGUGAUCGGCCACACUGGAACUGAGACACGGUCCAGACUCCUACGGGAGGCAGCAGUAGGGAAUCUUCCGCAACGGGCGAAAGCCUGACGGAGCAACGCCGCGUGAGUGAUGAAGGUCUUCGGAUCGUAAAACUCUGUUAUUAGGGAAGAACAUAUGUGUAAGUAACUGUGCACAUCUUGACGGUACCUAAUCAGAAAGCCACGGCUAACUACGUGCCAGCAGCCGCGGUAAUACGUAGGUGGCAAGCGUUAUCCGGAAUUAUUGGGCGUAAAGCGCGCGUAGGCGGUUUUUUAAGUCUGAUGUGAAAGCCCACGGCUCAACCGUGGAGGGUCAUUGGAAACUGGAAAACUUGAGUGCAGAAGAGGAAAGUGGAAUUCCAUGUGUAGCGGUGAAAUGCGCAGAGAUAUGGAGGAACACCAGUGGCGAAGGCGACUUUCUGGUCUGUAACUGACGCUGAUGUGCGAAAGCGUGGGGAUCAAACAGGAUUAGAUACCCUGGUAGUCCACGCCGUAAACGAUGAGUGCUAAGUGUUAGGGGGUUUCCGCCCCUUAGUGCUGCAGCUAACGCAUUAAGCACUCCGCCUGGGGAGUACGACCGCAAGGUUGAAACUCAAAGGAAUUGACGGGGACCCGCACAAGCGGUGGAGCAUGUGGUUUAAUUCGAAGCAACGCGAAGAACCUUACCAAAUCUUGACAUCCUUUGACAACUCUAGAGAUAGAGCUUUCCCCUUCGGGGGACAAAGUGACAGGUGGUGCAUGGUUGUCGUCAGCUCGUGUCGUGAGAUGUUGGGUUAAGUCCCGCAACGAGCGCAACCCUUAAGCUUAGUUGCCAUCAUUAAGUUGGGCACUCUAAGUUGACUGCCGGUGACAAACCGGAGGAAGGUGGGGAUGACGUCAAAUCAUCAUGCCCCUUAUGAUUUGGGCUACACACGUGCUACAAUGGACAAUACAAAGGGCAGCGAAACCGCGAGGUCAAGCAAAUCCCAUAAAGUUGUUCUCAGUUCGGAUUGUAGUCUGCAACUCGACUACAUGAAGCUGGAAUCGCUAGUAAUCGUAGAUCAGCAUGCUACGGUGAAUACGUUCCCGGGUCU